rnacentral:rRNA from 1 species
UACGUAGGGGGCGAGCGUUGUCCGGAAUGAUUGGGCGUAAAGGGCGCGCAGGCGGCCAUUCAAGUCAGUAGUGGAAGUCCAUUUUUCAAGGGUGGAAGUGCUAUUGAAACUGUAUGGCUUGAGUGCGGGAGAGGUUAUCGGAAUUCCAGGUGUAGCGGUGAAAUGCGUAGAGAUCGGGAGGAACACCAGUGGCGAAGGCGGGUAACUGGACCGCAACUGACGCUGAGGCGCGAAAGUGUGGGGAGCAAACAGGAUUAGAUACCCUGGUAGU